UACAGAGGGGGCAAGCGUUAUUCGGAAUUAUUGGGCGUAAAGGGCGCGUAGGCGGCCUGACAAGUGGAAGGUGAAAUCCCUCGGCUUAACCGAGGAGCUGCCCUCCAAACUGUUUGGCUUGAGUCCGGGAGAGGUGAGUGGAAUUCCCAGUGUAGCGGUGAAAUGCGUAGAUAUUGGGAGGAACACCAGUGGCGAAGGCGGCUCACUGGACCGGAACUGACGCUGAUGCGCGAAAGCUAGGGGAGCGAACGGG
rnacentral:rRNA from 1 species